UACGAAGGAUCCAAGCGUUAUCCGGAUUCAUUGGGUUUAAAGGGUGCGUAGGCGGUCAAAUAAGUCAGUGGUGAAAUCCUAUCGUUUAACGAUAGAAUUGCCAUUGAUACUGUUUGACUAGAGUUCAGAUGAUGUUGGCGGAAUGUGUCAUGUAGCGGUGAAAUGCUUAGAUAUGACACAGAACACCGAUUGCGAAGGCAGCUGACAAAACUGACACUGACGCUGAUGCACGAAAGUGCGGGGAUCAAACAGG
rnacentral:rRNA from 1 species